rnacentral:rRNA from 1 species
UACAGAGGGGGCAAGCGUUGUUCGGAAUUACUGGGCGUAAAGGGCGCGUAGGCGGCCUUCUAAGUCGAACGUGAAAUCCCCGGGCUCAACCCGGGAACUGCGUCCGAUACUGGAAGGCUUGAAUCCGGGAGAGGGAUGCGGAAUUCCAGGUGUAGCGGUGAAAUGCGUAGAUAUCGGAAGGAACAUCAGUGGCGAAAGCGAACUUCCUGGACCAGUACCGACGUUCAGGCACGAAAGCGUGGGGAGCAAACAGG